UACGGAGGGUGCAAGCGUUAUCCGGAUUCACUGGGUUUAAAGGGUGCGUAGGUGGGCAGGUAAGUCAGUGGUGAAAUCCUGUAGCUUAACUACAGAACUGCCAUUGAUACUAUUUGCCUUGAAUACCCUGGAGGUGAGCGGAAUAUGUCAUGUAGCGGUGAAAUGCUUAGAUAUGACAUAGAACAUCUAUUGCGAAGGCAGCUCACUACGGGAAUAUUGACGCUGAGGCACGAAAGCGUGGGGAUCAAACAGG
rnacentral:rRNA from 1 species